GAAGCCUUACUUUUCGCGCGUUCUCGUUUCAACGUCCUGUACCGGGACUUAUGGUCAGGUUGUGUAUGGUUCGUGAAACUAGAAAUAGGUAUUGUUCAGAUUGUUGUUUAAAUAUUAUAUCUUAGAGAAUAGUUUAUGUUUUAUGUACAGGUCUUGUAUGCCAUGAGUCGUCUUGAUUGGCCGUACAAUUUUAUUGUAAUUUAGGAUUUCCAGAGUACCGUAUUUACUCGAUUGAGCGCCGCCCCCCGAAUGAGCUUGAGAUUAAAUUUUUUUAAAGAGCGCCGCCCCCGUGUAAAAACUUUCCGUCGUCAAAAGGCUCUAAAAAUAUAAAGAGCGCCGCGGCGCUCAAACGAGUAAAUACGGUAAUGUGUACAUGUAGUUCGAGCGAAAUUUGACAUGCUGUUAGGAUGAUGAAGAGUGUGUGCCCACACCGUUUUGUAAAAUAGGUUCUUAGGCCCGUUUUAGUAUACGUCGAAUAUCGGUCGCGUCGAAUGCAAUUGAAACAAUAGAUAAUGAAGCUUAAUGAUGUUUGUCAUCUCAUUAUCUAUGGGCCAUUUGCAUUAUACACUAAAUUUUGAUCUAGACAAAAAUUUCAUCACAGCUUGAAAGAGCAUCACAAAAUUAGUAAUAUUCCAAAGUUUCGUUGCG